UCAGGUGAGGCAGAUCAAUCAGAAUCUAGCUUCUGAUCUCAAAUGCUUCCUCCUAAAACCUGUUUCUCAAUUGAGUUUCAUAAAUUCAUGCUUUUCUAACAUGUGGGCAGAAGUGAGAAAUAAGUAAAGCCAAAAAGAAUGGCAACUAGAGGAAAAGGAAAGAGAGAUAUGGAUUUGAAUAACUCACACUAGACUUAUGAAUGUCUCAAAAGGCAAGCCUGAAAGUGGGCUGGGUCAUUAGCAAGCUUACAGAUAAACUUUUUCCAGGCUAUCAAAACCCUCAACAAAAUAUUAGCAUUUGGAGUCCAACAAUAUAUAAAAAAUACAUAAAUGCACAAGUAACUUUAUUCCAGGAAUGUGUGGCUGGCUCAACAUUUGAAAAUCAAUGAAUACACCAUAUUAACAGACCAAAGAAGACAAACCAGAUAUUCUUAUGGACUGAUGCAAGAAAAGCAUUUGACAAAAUUCAUUAACAAUGAAAACUUUAAGUGAACUAGAAUAGCAGGAACCUCUGUGACCUGAUAAAGGGCUUCUACAAAAAACAAAACAAAACAAAACUACAGCUAACCUAACACUUAGUGAAAUCUAUCUCUAAGAUAGGGAACAAGGAAGGGCUGUCAUUUCUCACUGUUCUUACUUAACACACUGCUGGAAGUUGCAGUAAGGUAUGAAAAAGAAAAGACCUAUAGAUUGAAAAGGAAGAGACAAAACUUUUUUAUUUGUAGACAUGACUACUUAUGUAGAAAAUGCCAAGGAAUCAACAUAAAAAGAUUCUAGAGCUAAUAAAUUAGUAUAGCAAUGUCACAGGUUGCAUGAUCAGUAUACAAAAACCAACAAAUUCUAUAUUUUAGCAGUGAACAACUGAAAUUAAAUAUUAGAAUCAAAUAGGACUAUUCACAAUAGCAGCAAAAAAAAAAAAAGGAAAUCUUUAUCAGUUGUAAAUCUAACUUUAGAGUAGGAUAAAACUACAGAGGUAUAACAUGUUUGUGGACUGGAAGAGGCAAUAUUGUUGGCAUGCCAAUUCUCCCCUAACAGAUAUACAGAUUCAACACAAUCCCAACGAAAUCCAGUAAGCUUUUUGGGUGAUGGGGUGGGUGAUAGAUACCUGACUUCAUGCAUUUGCCAACACACACAGAACUAUUAUAAAGCUCUGAAAUUAUUUGUGGUGAUGGUGGCACAUAUUCUGUGGAUAUAUUAAAAAUCACUGAAUUAUACAAUUGAAAUGGAUGAACUGUUGGUAUGUGAAAUUUAUCUCAGUGAAAUGGUUACCAGAAAAGACCUUAAAACAAAAACAAAAACAAAAGCAAAAAAAAGACACCUGUAGAGAGGUGAUGAUACCAUCAAACCACAGACUGAGGGGUUGAGAUAAGCAAACAUUUACAGGCUCAGCCCUCAUAGCACUUUGGUCAAAACCUCAUGGAAGCAGUUCCACAGCCAUUUUUCAGAACUCGAACUUUCUCUGCCCUGGAAUUUCUUGAUACCAACAGGUGAGCUUCUUAAUAAUGCCCAGUAUAGGAAUGGCACAGCCCCCAGCACUCCCAGCUCCUCUGUGCCAGUGCCCAGGCAUUCUUGAACUUGCCCAGCAAUUCAGUAUGACCCAGUAUAUAUACCAACUAGAACAACAGUGAUCUUGAACAUUUUCCUCCUACUUUACAGGAAAGAAAUUUGAGACCAAGAAAAGGGACAUGAUUUACCCAGAAUCACUUAGGUGAUGGGAAAUAGAGGCAAGAGCUAAGGCUAUGUUCUCUCUUCGUCACCUCGACACCUUUCUGCUAGGUCAAAAAUAUGGGGCAUGUAUUACACGCUCUAUACUUUAAUAGCAAAGUGCAAAACAGAAGCUCUGCUAAACCCUGAAUGAAGGUGAAUUCUCUCCUCACCCAGACACUGACCUGUGCCCAUCUAACACUUCUAGUAAAAGGACCAAAUGAGAUGGGGACAUGCAAAGGGGAGAGAGGAUGAAAACCUGGGAGGAAAUAGGACUAUCAUGCAUAUUAAGAAUAUAUCCAGUCAAUUUCUGGAGAAAAGAUGAAAGAUCUCACUAGGGCACUAAAGGGAGGUAACAGAAUAGUAACUAACAGUUAUUCAAGGCUCAAACACUGCAUAUAGGAUUUACACAGUAACCCUCAGAACCAUGUAAUAUCAGCCCCAUUUCACAGCUGAGGCCCAGAGCAGUUAGGUGACUUACCCAUGAUCUCACUCAAGCAAUGGGAAUCCCACUACCUCUGACUACAGCUGUGUGACUUGGAAAAGCUACAUAACCUCCCCAAAGCCUCAGCUUUCCCAUUGGGAAAGUGGAGAUGACAAAUAGUAACCCACUUAGGGGGCACCUCAUCUGAGAUUAUACCUGAAAAGCACCAAGCAGAGUGCCUGGCACAUAUUACAUGCUCCACAUGUACUAAAGGCAAAAUAAACCUUCAUUAGGUCCACAGAACAAUUCUAUGAUUGUAAACAAUCUACAGGCCCCAUAACAUAACAUUCUUGUGUUACCAUUGCUCUUCCUUAACUGAAUUUUCUGGAAGGAGUUUCUUUUUGUGUAUGAAUUAAAAACCAAAUUGAAGCCACCACCUCAUCAGCCUCUCUUCCCCCAGUGAAGAGGGCCCUUCCUGCCUUUAUUUUUCUUCACCUUUCCCCCUGGCUCUGAGGCACAAAGGAUUCAGACUGACGUAAAGUAGACGUCUGUUCAGGGACAGAUGGUCUGUGCAAUUUGAAUAUUUAUUAUCUUAGUAACUGGUACUUUACCUCUCACCUCUCCCUCAAGUUAGAAGGGAUUAAAGGAGACUUAAUAAGAAAUGUCAAAGAUGAAGAGAGGAGCAGAGAUCUGCACCAAACAGGAGCUGUGAAUGCAGUGCUGAAGUAACAUUAUGAAGAUCAACAAAGAAAGUGCAAACUUUCAAGAACGGCUCUUGGAAGCGACUGUGGAGGAGAGCUGGGACAGCUGGGAGAUGGAGGCAGCUCUCACAAGCCUAGUGGCUGCAGACAGGGCCACACACCAGCUUCCUCAUCUGUAAAAUGGGGAUACGGCACCUCUGAGGGAUGUCAUAAUGACAGGUCUGCUGAAGCCUGCCCACCAAUGAGGAGCCAAAUGGAUAAAUUAUAGUGCAACCAAAUACUGGACGCAUAUGCAGUUAUUACAACAUUGUCUCCAAGCAAGUUUAAGUGAUAUGUGAAAAUACAUAUGGCUUAUUGAUAAUGAAAAAGAAAUGACCCCAAACUGUCCUUUUAUGAGCUCAGGAUCUGGACUCAAACUGCCUGGCCCAAAACCCAACUUCAGUAUUUAUGGCUCUGUGACUUUGGGCAAAAUACCUAACCUCUCUGCACCUGUUCCCUCAUCUGUAAAAUGCAGAUAAUGCCCUACCUAUUAGGAGGAUUAAAUGAAGUGACUAUGUAAAGCACCUAGUGCAGUGGCUAUCACCUGAUGGGAACUCAGUGAUAGGUGCCCUUAUUAUUAUUAAAUAACACUUCCAUCAUU